rnacentral:rRNA from 1 species
AUUCACUAGUGAUUACCCGCUGAAUUUAAGCAUAUUAGUAAGCGGAGGAAAAGAAACUAACCAGGAUUCUCCUAGUAACGGCGAGUGAACGGAGAUUAGCCCAUCACCGAAGUCCGGUGCUAUUGCAUACAGGACAAUGUGGUGUUAAGGCACGUACCUGGGACUGCGAAUCUACCCGAAGUCCAACUCCGAUUGUGGCUUUGGAUAUUGCCCAAAGCGGGUGAGAGGCCCGUACGGGUAGAUUCUUGUUGUUAUGCAGUCCUCAGAUGUGCGUGCUUUCGAGUCGGAUUGCUUGAGAAUGCAGUCCAAAGUGGGUGGUAAACUCCAUCCAAGGCUAAAUACUGGCACGAGUCCGAUAGUAGACAAGUACCGUGAGGGAAAGUUGAAAAGUACUCUGAAGAGAGAGUAAAUAGCACGUGAAGCCGGUUGCAGGGAAGCUGGUGGAGUCAAGCUUCAUGCUUGAGAAAUUUGUGCAAGUAGUAUUUUGUUGAUUGUAUUCAUGGCCGAUCAACUUGGAAUAAGUUGGGCGCAUUCGUGUGCUUCAAGUCAUUCUGGGUAGUGUGUUUGUGCUGGUCAUGAUAAACUGCUGCUUGUACUCUAUUUCUUGUUGCAUAAAUCACGGUCUAUAGCCUUGUGUUGACGUGCUGUAUGAUUGUCUAACUGUGCUACGGCAAGCUUUCAGUUUGUCGGGUACAGGAUGGCAGGUUGAGGCUUCGGUCCUUGUGUCUGUUAGUCUCUUAUAGUGGUUUUGACCAGCUGAUAAUCAUGCAGUAUCGUGGCUAUAGUUGUUUUGUUGAUACACAGUUUAUGAGCUGCGUACCAGUAAGAACCGUGAUUCUGAGGUAGACGUUCCACCCGACCCGUCUUGAAACACGGACCA